GAAAAAGCCAGGGAGAAGACAGAUAGCAAGUUGGCAGCUGAACCUUCAGUCCCUCGUGAAGACGGCUUUGAGCAAUUUGGUUGUUUGAGUUGCAUUUCAUUCACAGAGUCACUGGGGAACUUACGCAGCAAAUGAGGAGCGGGGAAUCUGAGGCGGACAGAUAGCAGGGGCUGGCCGGGGUGUCUGGUGGCAGCGAGGGGCUUGAGGAGGGCCUUGGUGGGGUUGCAUCACCGAUGACUAAACAGUCAUUGAGCUCAGGCCUGUGAUAACGUGCCAGGGCUCAGGAUUUCAACAGCAGCCUGAAACCCUGGAGCCACAAACUGGGGCAGGCCUGGUCUCGCUCAGGCUCAGCUUCAAACUUCAACUCAAGAAAAGGGAGAGGCCAACAUCCAAACCUUGCUGCAUUCACUGCCACCCCCUCAAACUCCGAGGCUUCCUGAUAAUUAAUCACACAGUCCCAAUCGCCUGCUCUGCACUCGGUGCCAGGGUCAGCCUCCAUCUGGCCUCCAGUUUAACAUUAGAAAUCAUCACUUUGGGAAAACUGUAAUGAAUCCGCAAAAAAAAAUCUGUUUAAAAAAUGAACAGGGAUGUGUUAUAUAAAUGUGCGUUUUUACAUUCAAGACACAUUCUGCAAGAAUAUUCCAUGCGUUUUAUCCUUCAUUCCACCGGAGUCUGUAUGUGUAUUAAACCAGAUUUCAGUGGUGUGAAGUGUACAAGACAUGGAGAUACUGCUUCACAAGCUAACACUCACGAUACCAGAAGGCAUCCAAUUCAAAAGUCAUAGAAGUAACUCAAUUUUGACGGCAUGUUGAAUGUUGUAAUCUACAUGGACGAUCGAGCUGUUUAUAGGGAACUGGAUAGUGUUUCUUCUGCAACAUGUAGUGCAAACUAUGUUAUGCAUGUAUUUUAAUCAAUAAGAUACUGUACUGAGCAACUCUGUAAUGUGAAUAAAUAUCCUGACCUCGUG